CCCUGUAUAGCUCACAGUUGGUUAGAGCGCUGUACCGGAAUCGCAGUGGCCGCAGGUUCGAUUCCUGACAGAGGGC